rnacentral:pre_miRNA from 1 species
UAAUAACGACCAUGGUGACGAUGUCGAUGAUGAUGAUGAUGAUGAUCGUCAUUAUAAUUUUGAUCAUCAUCAUCAUCAUCAUCAUCGUCAUCAUCAGCA